UUGAACGAUGGAAUGAGCAAAGGGAAAAUGGAAACUUCCCUGGACCUUUGUGAUGGGUGAGAUAUUUAAGCUUUGCACAAAUGCUGCAUUGAAUUUCUUAAUAUAUGGUGGUGAUUAAUUGGAUGACACUUGACACUCCAAUAAUUCUUCAAAACCAAAAAAACCAUGAAUGAAAAACCUUCAUAUUUGUUUGCUUUAUUGAUUCUACCGUUUACUUAUUUACAGGUGUUGACUUGUAUAAAAAAUUUAAAUAAAAAGUGGGUUUCUACUUACUACUUUAUAUAAAAAAAGGGAAAAAAUUUAUAUUACUUUAAUAAAUAUUCAGUAAGCGCACACGAGAACAAAAAGGAAAACCACCGCUAUAAAGUUUCGGUCCUCAACAAACCCAUCAGAUCCAAAAUCCCCAUUUCAACUUUUAGGUAUCUGCCUGCAAAUUCGGUCGAAGACGAUGGUUCGCCUGAGCAACAAUCUUCUGGGGAUCCUGAACGUCGUAGUCUUCGUUCUCUCUAUUCCGAUCUUCAUCGCAGGUGUAUGGCUCGCGAAUCAAGCAAGCAGCGAAUGUGAGAAGUUCCUCGAUAAACCUAUGAUCGUUCUAGGUGUUUUUCUGAUGGCUGUUUCCCUAGCGGGAAUCAUCGGCGCCUGUUGCCGUGUGUCUUGUCUUCUUUGGUUGUAUCUGUGCGUGAUGUUCAUCCUGAUUCUCCUCAUAUUCUGCUUCACCGUGUUCGCUUUCGUAGUCACGAAUAAGGGAGCUGGAGAAGCGGUUUCGGGGAGAGGCUACAAGGAGUACAAGUUGGGGGAUUACAGUCACUGGUUGCAGAAGAGAGUAGAGAGUGGUAAAAAUUGGGAUCGGAUCCGGAGUUGUGUACAGGAGUCCAAAGUCUGCCAGAAACUCGCCAAUAAAGGCGAUUCCGUUCAGCAGUUCUUCCGCCAGAAUCUCAGCCCACUCCAGGUUUCUUCUUCUUCUUCUUCUUUAUGUUCUUCUUUUCCGUUAUUGAAACUAAGGUUGAUUUGAAACAACAACAGUCUGGAUGUUGCAAGCCACCGACAGAAUGUAACCUGCAGUACGUUAAUGCGACGUAUUGGAGUGGAAAGAUCAGCCCCGGCAGUGCGGACAACCAAGAUUGCAAGGAAUGGAAUAACGACCCAUCUGUGCUUUGCUACAAUUGCAAUUCUUGCAAGGCCGGGAUCUUAGCGAGCAUUAAAGAUGAUUGGAAAAAGGUUGCUAUAGUGAAUGUGGUGUUCCUUGUGUUCUUGGUGAUUGUCUACUCCAUUGGAUGCUGUGCUUUCAGAAACAACAGGAAUGAUAACUACUACAUGAAACGUUAAAAACAAAGCACAUGGCUUUGUUCGUUGUUAGUUACUACUUCUACUUGUUUAAAUUUCUUUUCUGAAUAUAAGAACAUAUGGCAAAUGGCAGCAGUUACGAUUAUUUUUACACAAUCAUUUCAUCAAACACCACCAAUUACAUUACUUAUCCCCACGCAAAAUCGAUUUCUGAGCAAGCCUUAGAUUUCAAAACAACAAUCAAUACCUGAUAUUCUAUCAAAUACAAUCCGUCCUACACCCUUCGCAUUGAUCCAAACAAGUGGUCUUGCGAUCAUUAAAACUUUCAACAACCUUUGGAGACUGACUCGAUAUUUUUUAGAACGAACUAUGUCUCAUCAUUUUCACGUAGAGGGUCUUGGACAAUCGUGUGGUUGAUUGCGUCGCCGGAGGUGGAAUUGCAGGAUCGCCGGUCGCGUGCGUGCUUCCGAUAGAGGACGCGUUCUGGUGUGUCCGAGAGACCACACGAUUAGCCCAGAGUGAUGGCGCUGCAGUAGCUGCGGAUAGCGGACCGAAGGUCGCGCGCUGGAGACGGAAGAAAAAUCCCCAAAAGGGGCCGGAGGGAGAUAGACGAGAUCCCGGAGGAUCCUAAGGACUGGAACAAUUGAUUUCACUAAUUCGAUGCUUCUUCUUCCUCAUUCAUUCUAUUUAAAUCCAACAUAUGUGUUGGUCUAACAACCACGUCGUGGAUACACGACCCAUUCCCACUACUUGAUUACAUAACAAAUUUUAUUAAAACUACUUAGUCGUAACUGAAUUCAGAUGUGCGGGUGGAGCGUUUGAUACGUUCGGAGCGACGAGCCGGGUCGGGUUCUGCUGGAAUCUCCUCCCCAUCCGACGAGUUGUUAUUUAAUUUUAAUUCUGUCCUCAGUAUUUCCUCAGCCACCGCUUGGUUAAUUAGUAUUGUUACAUGACUCUUGACAAGUAUACAAGGUUCACAAUCUGAGAAUUUUCCACAAGAAAUUGAAAUUUGAUUUUUAUCAGCUAAGUCUUUUAUUGCCUUGGUAUGCAGAUGCCCAAGUCGAGCAUGUCAUUGAUCUCCUGUCACUGCCGAGAGUGCCACCUUAUUUCUUCUUUUUCUAGAGGCAGCUGGUAUAGUCCAUUCUCCUCUCGACCUUCAGCUAUAGCACCCUUCUAGUGUCCAGAUCCCGUACCUUGACACUCUGUUUGUCAAAUUCCACAAAAAUUUUGUUAUCAGCACAUAAACGCUGAACAAAUUAUAAAUUUUUUAAAGUAUUCGGUAUUAAAAGCAUAUCAUCCAAAGAAAAACUAUUAUUGUUAAAUUUAGCCUUUAAUUUCCCUGAUUGCAUGUGAGAUUGUCAUCGAGUCCCCAUUAGCAACAAUAACAAAGGACCUACCUUCGUAAGAAGACGAUUUUUGAAUGAGCGUACAUGUCCCAGUGAUAUGAGUGGUAGCCCCCGAAUCGGGGUACCACAUAGACAUAACUCCACGAGUAACAACAAUAUUAGCCUCUGGUUGAAAUGUUGUAGGAGUUGGUAUCCCUAUUGGAAUUAAGGUCCGACUGUGUUUUGGUGGGUAUCGAGUGAAAUUCACUCUGUUAUAGCAAUUUAGGGCGUUGUGCCCCUUCUUCAAACAAAUCUGACAUGGUUGCGAUUUCAUUGUAGACUCAGAUCUAGAUCUUGUUGCGAUAUUCGCUUCAAUCGUACAUGGGAAUGGUGUCAAUCGCAUCUCAUGAUCGAUUAAUAAUUCUUGAAACAUGGGGAAUGUCGUAGCGUGAUCAAAUUGUGUUGUUAUAGGGGGAGCUUGAGGGGACUUGAGCCCCCCUCCAAAAAAAAAAAAAAAAAAAAAUCAUAUAGAUAUAUGUCUCCACCAGCGGCGAAUGUAAGAGGGAUUUGGGGGACUUGAGCCUCCCCCUCUCCAAAAAAAAAGAAAAGAAAAGAUAUAUGCUUCGACGUUUAAAAUAUAUUAAUAUAUUUUAUUUUUAUAAUAUAAUAUAAUAAUAAUAUAAAAUAUUUUGUUUAUAAAUUAUUAUCCUAUUAAUAAUUAAUUUAUUAGUAUAUUUAUUUUAAUUUUCCAUAACUGUCCAUCUAUAUUUAAAAAUUUAAAAUUUUCGUUUUUUCUCCUCUUUCUCCACACCAUUCAUUUAAUUUUUGAUUUAUUUUUCUCUAUUUUCCGUGAUUUCAUAAUCAUAGCUCUAUACAAAGAAAAAAAUAAAAGUAUUUUUUAUCCACAUUUAUUAUUGUUAAAUUUGUUAUUAAUUUAAAUCUUUUUUUUACAUAGAUAAUCAAUGGAUAAAUUUGUGAUCAAAAGAUCUAGAAUAAAUCAACCAAUUUCAACUCCAUCAUCCAAUCCACAACCAUCUAAGGAGCCACUGUAUUAGUAUUAGUUAAUCAUAAUUUAAAAAAUUUUAGUGUACAAGUUUCUUAUUUUUAUUUUUAAUAAUUAUCAGAAUGUAAUAGUUAAUUGCAUAUUAUCAGUAAAUGUAUCCUAAUGUCAUACUUUUUCACCUACUUUAUAGUCUAUAAACAUUAUUUUUGUCUUCUUCUACUCUAUAGUCUUACAAGGUAUUGAUGAUACUUUAUAUUCUAUAUUCUUACUCUAUAGUCUUACUCUAUAGUCUUACUCUAUAGUCUUACAAGGAUCUUUGUCACCUACUCUAUACUCUAUAUUCUAUUGAUGAUACUUUAUUACAAAACUACCAUCAAAAUAAUAUUUUAUACUACUAAAAAAAACAAUCCCUGCAAUAGUUGUACGAACGGUUGCAAAACUAUACCGGGAAUCCAACGACCACAACACGUUUGGCGCAGAUAGCGCAAACAGUGUUUGGCGCACUGGAUUCCUGCCGUAUAUAUACAUACAUUAAUAUGUUAAUUCUAACUAUACAAGUGAUUCUAUUAUAUCAGAUGUCGAAUAGGUAUCUGUUACAACAUGCCCAAGGUAUAAGUAUAUACUCUGGAAAGUAUGAUAUCCACAUGAUCACAUCAACCUCUCCAUCGGAGGUGGGAGUGGUGCCGAACAGUGGUUCGACUACAGAGAUUUCUGCAGCGGUGAGGUUAGACAGGAAAGCGAGAGUUUUGAGGUACAGAGAGAAGAGAAAGAUUUCGAGAAGACUAUUCGAUACGCUUCAAGGAAAGCAUACGCAGAGACUCGUCCAAGGAUCAAAGGUCGAUUCGCCAAACAAACGAUGAUCAUCGGGAUGGAUGUUGUCGAUGGAUUCCGGUUACGGCGUCAUUCUUUCGUUCUGAAUUACGGCAGUUGGAUUCGAGGUUAUUGUUGAAUUUACUAAAUUAUCCACUUGAAUAAUGAAUUAUUACUUUUUAGUAUUAUUAAUGCUUAAACAUGAUCCAUACUUUAUUUAAACGGAAUAGAGAUUAAACAAUGAAAAAUCCAAAGGAUGAGUUUAAUGAUCAUUGUUUACAUCAAAAACAUCGUAAAGGAUCAAUCAAGCAAAAUGGGUAGGGUAAGAUAGAGACUUUGCUGCUUUUAAAAAACAAGUUAUCCUCUUGUUGUUUUGGAGCAAGAGAGUUGGAGAAGCUAAGAACCGGUGGUGAAGCCAUCAACGAUGGAGUGUGUCCAGUGACUUGGUUUUGAUUGAGAUUAUUCCCUCCGAUGGAUCUGUGAGCGGUGGACAGAGUUGUGAACAACAGGACGACAAGCAGAAAUUGUAGCACUAGAUUGGCCAUUGAAUUAAAGGUGUAUCGAACUAUCAAGUAUUAAUGUAGAAUAAUAUAUAUUUUCUGUGAUUUUUUUAGAUUUAUGUGCAUGUUUAUUUAUAAUGUUGAUUUCUUCAGAGAUUUUUAUUAUUCAACGAUGUGGGACUAUUCAAUUAAAAAAAACACAUUGAUUAUUAGUUAAUUGUUUUAUUUUAACACAGUUUACCCUUAAUUUCAUAUAUCAGUUUUUUAAACAGGAUUUCAAUUAAUUAUAAUUAGCUCAACAAUUAAAUAUGUCUUUGAAAUCUCUUUACUCUCGCCAGCCUACUAUGUUAUCAGAGCCAGAUACAUCUCAUUUUAAGGUGCCCAAGGUAGAAGUAUACACAUCAACUUCUUUUUGCCGCAAAUACAAUAUCUAAUCUUUCACUGAUAAAACACUUACGACGGACUAUCCGUGUCGGAAAUUCCAUAUUAGUAUCAUACGGUAGGAUAAGACAUUGAUGGUACAAGGGAUACCAUCAAGAAAAGAUAUCAGAAGACACCCAAGACAAACAUGGUAGAGUCGGUCCACGACGAAACAAGCUACUUCGAAGUAGUGUCAAACUACGCAAACGACCCAAAUCGCUCCAAAAUGUGCAACCCUUCCGCAGGAUGUAUCGUGGUAUCAGAAACCAAAACAAACACACAGUAUUAUCCACCGGAAAAGGUCACCCAAACCAGCUGGGUUAGAAGAACUGCAAAAAGAGAAGAGUAUAAAUAGGAAACGUCAAGGCCUAUAACUUGGAUAGAGCCUUUUAACAAGUUUCAUUUUGGGCCGAAUUUAGUUUUCUUCCUAAUUACGCAAGGCCUUAGGGCCUAGAUUAAAUUCCGUAUUGUAUGGGCUCACAAGGUUGAUUGUGUGGAUCGUACCCGUAACCCGUCCGUCUUACUUAUUUUUCGAAUAAGAAUAUCCCACAUGUUGACGACUGGAAUUCUUGAAUACUUUCGGAGUCGACAGGGGGAGAAGAGAGAACAUCUGGAAAUGGCGGAGGUAAGUAAUUUCAGAUCACUGCAACUUCAAACAAUAUUUGUUUAUGAAUCAAGAAUUUUCCAUUUGAUCUGAAAGUAAUUUUUUUUAAAAAAAUUUCAUCUUCGACAAAAUUAGGGAUUCGUCAAUCUUUCUGUGAUCGAUCGUGCUUUUUUUUUUUUUAUCAUUUUGGUCGCUUUCUUUUGUAAGAUUCUAUUUGUAUGUAGUUGAGCAGAUUCUGAUGUCAAUAUUGCUCUGAUUUUUAUUUUUUUUAUUCACUCCUAUUCAGAAAUAAUAAAAAAUUGGGAGAUCGUAAUUCGUAACCCUAGAAAAUUAUAAUUGAUUGUUUUUAGUUAUACGGAUUAUUAUUUUGUUGGAACGUUUUAAUUGAAAUUAUAGAUGAAAAAUAUAUUGCAUUGAAUUGAAGAAGAAGAAGAGAAAAUCACUUCUGUUUGGUUCGAAAUUGUGUGGUAGUUUUAUUUGAAAGAUAUGGACCUGCCCUAAUGAAUUCCAUUUUUAGCCUUUAUCCAAUGCUCCGAUAAAUCAGUAGAGACUAGAGAGUAAGAGAUAUAAUUCUGUGUUGGAUCAAAUAUUAUUCAAAUCAAACAAAUCAUGAGGUUGAGAUUUUGGGCUUCCAAAAAUCCAUCCAAGUGAACUAUAGAUCAGUGAUUAUAUUCCAGAAUUCGAUCCUGGGCUUCAUUCAGGAGGAGAAGAAUCAAGUUGGGAACCCCUCAUCAAUCAGAUUUUAAACAUUCUGUAUUUUAAGAUCAUAGUAUUUGUUUUUCGCCAAUUGCGUUUGGAUUGUGUGGAAUAUUUUCUGAUAAGUGAUGAUUAUAAGACAUUCCUCAAUGCUUUAGAGUUUAUAUUUAUGUUCAUACUGUUUAUUUUCUUAUCAGAUUGACAUAAAAACUGCUCCAGCAGACUUCCGUUUCCCCACGACAAAUCAAACCAGACACUGUUUCACCCGCUACAUUGAGUUCCACAAGUAGUGUAUUUUGCUUUACAUUUAUUUCAAGGAUUUUUAAUUUAAUUUUCACAAUUUACCAUUAUUUUAACCAUCUUCGCCAUUGGUGCAAAAUUAGAUGUUUGGCGGCAAAGGGUGAAGAAUCUGGUGAAUGUGAAAAGUAUGCAAGCUACUAUCGUUCUCUCUGCCCGAUUGAAUGGGUGAGUUUUUUUUCUCUCCUACCAUUUAUAAGAACAAGUCACAACCCAACAAGGUUUUAAUCUGGAACUUAUGUUUUCUUCUUCUUUGAUUUAGGUUGAACGAUGGAAUGAGCAAAGGGAAAAUGGAAACUUCCCUGGACCUUUGUGAUGGGUGAGAUAUUUAAGCUUUGCACAAAUGCUGCAUUGAAUUUCUUAAUAUAUGGUGGUGAUUAAUUGGAUGACACUUGACACUCCAAUAAUUCUUCAAAACCAAAAAAACCAUGAAUGAAAAACCUUCAUAUUUGUUUGCUUUAUUGAUUCUACCGUUUACUUAUUUACAGGUGUUGACUUGUAUAAAAAAUUUAAAUAAAAAGUGGGUUUCUACUUACUACUUUAUAUAAAAAAAGGGAAAAAAUUUAUAUUACUUUAAUAAAUAUUCAGUAAGCGCACACGAGAACAAAAAGGAAAACCACCGCUAUAAAGUUUCGGUCCUCAACAAACCCAUCAGAUCCAAAAUCCCCAUUUCAACUUUUAGGUAUCUGCCUGCAAAUUCGGUCGAAGACGAUG
rnacentral:lncRNA from 1 species